GAUGAACGCUAGCUACAGGCUUAACACAUGCAAGUCGAGGGGCAGCAUGAACUUAGCUUGCUAAGUUUGAUGGCGACCGGCGCACGGGUGAGUAACACGUAUCCAACCUGCCGAUGACUCGGGGAUAGCCUUUCGAAAGAAAGAUUAAUACCCGAUGGCAUAGUUCUUCCGCAUGGUAGAACUAUUAAAGAAUUUCGGUCAUCGAUGGGAUGCGUUCCAUUAGGUUGUUGGCGGGGUAACGGCCCACCAAGCCUUCGAUGGAUAGGGGUUCUGAGAGGAAGGUCCCCCACAUUGGAACUGAGACACGGUCCAAACUCCUACGGGAGGCAGCAGUGAGGAAUAUUGGUCAAUGGACGAGAGUCUGAACCAGCCAAGUAGCGUGAAGGAUGACUGCCCUAUGGGUUGUAAACUUCUUUAUAAGGGAAUAAAGUGGAGUCGUGACUCUUUUU
rnacentral:rRNA from 1 species